UACGUAGGGUGCGAGCGUUGUCCGGAAUUAUUGGGCGUAAAGAGCUUGUAGGCGGUCUGUCGCGUCUGCUGUGAAAAUCCGGGGCUCAACCCCGGACUUGCAGUGGGUACGGGCAGACUAGAGUGUGGUAGGGGAGACUGGAAUUCCUGGUGUAGCGGUGAAAUGCGCAGAUAUCAGGAGGAACACCAAUGGCGAAGGCAGCUCGCUGGGACGGUACUGACGCUGAGACGCGAAAGCGUGGGGAGCGAACAGG
rnacentral:rRNA from 1 species